rnacentral:rRNA from 1 species
GAUGAACGCUGGCGGCGUGCCUAAUACAUGCAAGUCGAGCGAACAGACGAGGAGCUUGCUCCUCUGACGUUAGCGGCGGACGGGUGAGUAACACGUGGAUAACCUACCUAUAAGACUGGGAUAACUUCGGGAAACCGGAGCUAAUACCGGAUAACAUGUUGAACCGCAUGGUUCAACAGUGAAAGACGGUCUUGCUGUCACUUAUAGAUGGAUCCGCGCCGCAUUAGCUAGUUGGUAAGGUAACGGCUUACCAAGGCAACGAUGCGUAGCCGACCUGAGAGGGUGAUCGGCCACACUGGAACUGAGACACGGUCCAGACUCCUACGGGAGGCAGCAGUAGGGAAUCUUCCGCAAUGGGCGAAAGCAUGACGGAGCAACGCCGAGUGAGUGAAGAAGGUCUUCGGAUCGUAAAACUCUGUUAUUAGGGAAGAACAAAUGUGUAAGUAACUAUGCACGUCUUGACGGUACCUAAUCAGAAAGCCACGGCUAACUACGUG